UUAAGCGACUAAGCGUACACGGUGGAUGCCCUGGCAGUCAGAGGCGAUGAAGGACGUGCUAAUCUGCGAUAAGCGUCGGUAAGGUGAUAUGAACCGUUAUAACCGGCGAUUUCCGAAUGGGGAAACCCAGUGUGUUUCGACACACUAUCAUUAACUGAAUCCAUAGGUUAAUGAGGCGAACCGGGGGAACUGAAACAUCUAAGUACCCCGAGGAAAAGAAAUCAACCGAGAUUCCCCCAGUAGCGGCGAGCGAACGGGGAGCAGCCCAGAGCCUGAAUCAGUGUGUGUGUUAGUGGAAGCGUCUGGAAAGGCGCGCGAUACAGGGUGACAGCCCCGUACACAAAAAUGCACAUGCUGUGAGCUCGAUGAGUAGGGCGGGACACGUGGUAUCCUGUCUGAAUAUGGGGGGACCAUCCUCCAAGGCUAAAUACUCCUGACUGACCGAUAGUGAACCAGUACCGUGAGGGAAAGGCGAAAAGAACCCCGGCGAGGGGAGUGAAAAAGAACCUGAAACCGUGUACGUACAAGCAGUGGGAGCACGCUUAGGCGUGUGACUGCGUACCUUUUGUAUAAUGGGUCAGCGACUUAUAUUCUGUAGCAAGGUUAACCGAAUAGGGGAGCCGAAGGGAAACCGAGUCUUAACUGGGCGUUAAGUUGCAGGGUAUAGACCCGAAACCCGGUGAUCUAGCCAUGGGCAGGUUGAAGGUUGGGUAACACUAACUGGAGGACCGAACCGACUAAUGUUGAAAAAUUAGCGGAUGACUUGUGGCUGGGGGUGAAAGGCCAAUCAAACCGGGAGAUAGCUGGUUCUCCCCGAAAGCUAUUUAGGUAGCGCCUCGUGAAUUCAUCUCCGGGGGUAGAGCACUGUUUCGGCAAGGGGGUCAUCCCGACUUACCAACCCGAUGCAAACUGCGAAUACCGGAGAAUGUUAUCACGGGAGACACACGGCGGGUGCUAACGUCCGUCGUGAAGAGGGAAACAACCCAGACCGCCAGCUAAGGUCCCAAAGUCAUGGUUAAGUGGGAAACGAUGUGGGAAGGCCCAGACAGCCAGGAUGUUGGCUUAGAAGCAGCCAUCAUUUAAAGAAAGCGUAAUAGCUCACUGGUCGAGUCGGCCUGCGCGGAAGAUGUAACGGGGCUAAACCAUGCACCGAAGCUGCGGCAGCGACGCUUAUGCGUUGUUGGGUAGGGGAGCGUUCUGUAAGCCUGUGAAGGUGUACUGUGAGGUAUGCUGGAGGUAUCAGAAGUGCGAAUGCUGACAUAAGUAACGAUAAAGCGGGUGAAAAGCCCGCUCGCCGGAAGACCAAGGGUUCCUGUCCAACGUUAAUCGGGGCAGGGUGAGUCGACCCCUAAGGCGAGGCCGAAAGGCGUAGUCGAUGGGAAACAGGUUAAUAUUCCUGUACUUGGUGUUACUGCGAAGGGGGGACGGAGAAGGCUAUGUUGGCCGGGCGACGGUUGUCCCGGUUUAAGCGUGUAGGCUGGUUUUCCAGGCAAAUCCGGAAAAUCAAGGCUGAGGCGUGAUGACGAGGCACUACGGUGCUGAAGCAACAAAUGCCCUGCUUCCAGGAAAAGCCUCUAAGCAUCAGGUAACAUCAAAUCGUACCCCAAACCGACACAGGUGGUCAGGUAGAGAAUACCAAGGCGCUUGAGAGAACUCGGGUGAAGGAACUAGGCAAAAUGGUGCCGUAACUUCGGGAGAAGGCACGCUGAUAUGUAGGUGAAGUCCCUCGCGGAUGGAGCUGAAAUCAGUCGAAGAUACCAGCUGGCUGCAACUGUUUAUUAAAAACACAGCACUGUGCAAACACGAAAGUGGACGUAUACGGUGUGACGCCUGCCCGGUGCCGGAAGGUUAAUUGAUGGGGUUAGCCGCAAGGCGAAGCUCUUGAUCGAAGCCCCGGUAAACGGCGGCCGUAACUAUAACGGUCCUAAGGUAGCGAAAUUCCUUGUCGGGUAAGUUCCGACCUGCACGAAUGGCGUAAUGAUGGCCAGGCUGUCUCCACCCGAGACUCAGUGAAAUUGAACUCGCUGUGAAGAUGCAGUGUACCCGCGGCAAGACGGAAAGACCCCGUGAACCUUUACUAUAGCUUGACACUGAACAUUGAGCCUUGAUGUGUAGGAUAGGUGGGAGGCUUGGAAGUGUGGACGCCAGUCUGCAUGGAGCCGACCUUGAAAUACCACCCUUUAAUGUUUGAUGUUCUAACGUUGACCCGUAAUCCGGGUUGCGGACAGUGUCUGGUGGGUAGUUUGACUGGGGCGGUCUCCUCCUAAAGAGUAACGGAGGAGCACGAAGGUUGGCUAAUCCUGGUCGGACAUCAGGAGGUUAGUGCAAUGGCAUAAGCCAGCUUGACUGCGAGCGUGACGGCGCGAGCAGGUGCGAAAGCAGGUCAUAGUGAUCCGGUGGUUCUGAAUGGAAGGGCCAUCGCUCAACGGAUAAAAGGUACUCCGGGGAUAACAGGCUGAUACCGCCCAAGAGUUCAUAUCGACGGCGGUGUUUGGCACCUCGAUGUCGGCUCAUCACAUCCUGGGGCUGAAGUAGGUCCCAAGGGUAUGGCUGUUCGCCAUUUAAAGUGGUACGCGAGCUGGGUUUAGAACGUCGUGAGACAGUUCGGUCCCUAUCUGCCGUGGGCGCUGGAGAACUGAGGGGGGCUGCUCCUAGUACGAGAGGACCGGAGUGGACGCAUCACUGGUGUUCGGGUUGUCAUGCCAAUGGCACUGCCCGGUAGCUAAAUGCGGAAGAGAUAAGUGCUGAAAGCAUCUAAGCACGAAACUUGCCCCGAGAUGAGUUCUCCCUGACUCCUUGAGAGUCCUGAAGGAACGUUGAAGACGACGACGUUGAUAGGCCGGGUGUGUAAGCGCAGCGAUGCGUUGAGCUAACCGGUACUAAUGAACCGUGAGGCUUAACCUU
rnacentral:rRNA from 1 species